rnacentral:rRNA from 1 species
GCCAAUGCAUGCUUUUACAGUAUGGAAAUUGGUGAUUUAUAAUAACUUAGCAAAUCGCAAAGUGAAAACAGGCGAUAAAUCAUUCAAGUUUCUGACCUAUCAGCUUUCGACGGUAUGGUAUUGGCUUACCGUGGCAGUGACGGUUAACGGGGGAUUAGGGUUCGAUUCCGGAGAGGGAGCCUGAGAAACGGCUACCACAUCUAAGGAAGGCAGCAGGCGCGCAAAUUACCCAAUUCUAACAGUUUAAGAGAGGUAGUAACAAGAAAUAACAAUACAAGGCAAUUAAAAUGCUUUGUAAUUGGAAUGAUAGAAAUUUAAACCCUUUUUAAAGUAUCAAUUGGAGGGCAAGUCUGGUGCCAGCAGCCGCGGUAAUUCCAGCUCCAAUAGCGUAUAUUAAAAUUGUUGCAGUUAAAAAGCUCGUAGUUGAAGUUCUGCUAAAAGUAACCGGUCUGCUUUUAAUAAAAGUGGUAUCUUGGUGUGUAUUUAGCAAUGAUGUCCUUUGAAGUGUUUUUUACUUUAUUGUAAUAAAGCAUAUUCAGGACUUUUACUUUGAGAAAAUUAGA